rnacentral:rRNA from 1 species
AUUGAACGCUGGCGGCAGGCCUAACACAUGCAAGUCGAGCGGAUGAAGGGAGCUUGCUCCUGGAUUCAGCGGCGGACGGGUGAGUAAUGCCUAGGAAUCUGCCUGGUAGUGGGGGAUAACGUCCGGAAACGGGCGCUAAUACCGCAUACGUCCUGAGGGAGAAAGUGGGGGAUCUUCGGACCUCACGCUAUCAGAUGAGCCUAGGUCGGAUUAGCUAGUUGGUGGGGUAAAGGCCUACCAAGGCGACGAUCCGUAACUGGUCUGAGAGGAUGAUCAGUCACACUGGAACUGGGACACGGUCCAGACUCCUACGGGAGGCAGCAGUGGGGAAUAUUGGGCAAAGGGCGGAAGCCUGAUCCAGCCAUGCCGCGUGUGUGAAGAAGGGCUUCGGAUUGUAAAGCACUUUAAGUUGGGAGGAAGGGCAGUAAGUUAAUACCUUGCUGUUUUGACGUUACCAACAGAAUAAGCACCGGCUAACUUCGUGC